CACAAAAAUAUACCCAACAAAAGGCGCGAUAUGUGGUGCAAAAUCUGGCAAAUUAAUCGCGAGAACCGUAAAAUUCGAGGACAAUGGAGGAACGAUGGACGCCACUAACUGCUGUGAUACUCAGGGCCGGACACAAACCGGCACUGUGUGUGUACACUCUUAAAAGAAACACAACUCUCUCGAGUCUAAACCGGGGCCGCAAUCACCGUGUUCAUAAGUGACAUAUUUGAAUGGUUCACGGCCUCCUGACCUCUUUAAUAUUUAUUUUUAUUUUUAUUUUUUUCAAAGAAAUUGAUAAGAGAAACAGUAACACACUAUCACUACUCUGUUGUCAUUUCCUUCAAUACAACACGAGCAAUUCUUUCAAUUAAUUCUUCUGUUACCACCGAAAGGGUCAACAACGAGUCACACCUACAAGCUUUCCUUCUCCUAAUCUUUUUAACAACCUUCGGUGGCGUCACAGCAGUUUCCCGUGAAGGUAGUUUUUCUUCCUUCUCUGUUACAACAACUUCAUUCGUUUCAUUGCCGGGCAGAAUCUCCUUUAUUUUCUCUGUUCGGUCAACUAUCAGAGGUCCACCGCCAUUUUCUGUAACAUUCCUACUCUCCACCGAUGUUUCCUUGGUGGUUUCAUGUGAAGGUAGUCUUUCUUCUUUCUCUGUUACAACAAUUUCAUUCGUUUUAUUGCCGGGCAGAAUCUCCUUUGUUUUCUCUGUUCGUUCUAUUUUCUGAGGUCCAUCGCCAUUUUCUGAAGCAUUUCUACUCUCCUCCACAGAUGUCAUCGAAAUGCUUUCCUGUGAAGGUAGUCUUUCUUCUUUCUUUGUUACUAUAAUUUCAUUCGUUUCAUUGGAUGGCAGAAUCUCCUUUGUUUUCUCUGUCCGUUCUACUGUCAGAGGACCAUCGCCAUUUUCUGUUACAUUCUUAGUCUCCACAGAUGUCUCCUUAAUGGUUUCCUGUGAAGGCAGUUUCUCUUCUUUUUCUGUUACUAACAUUUCAUUCGUUUUAUUGCCGGGAAGAAUCUCAAUGGUUUUCUCUGUCCGUUCUACUUUCUGGCGUCCGUCGCUCUUAUCCGUAUCGUUCUUACUUUCCACAUGUUUCCCUAAUGGUUUCCUCUAAAGGUAGUUUUUCUUCUUUCUCUGUUGCUAAUAAUUGAUUCGUUUUAUUGCCUGGCAGAAUCUCCUUUGUUACCUCAGUGGCACUGGUAAGAGGCAGUACUGUUGCUUCCUUCUUUAUAACAACUUCCUCGUGUAUUUCAUUACCCUCUUCGUCCGUGACCUUGUUCACGUCCACCGUCUGUGUUAGGGACCCGUUGUGUGGAGUGGUUUGCGUCAGAGUUUUGCUCUCUGUGACAGAUUUUUCGGCACUUUCUUUACCUUCCUCAUCAAUAACAACCUGUGUUUCCGUAAUCUUUGAUACAUUUCCGUUGGGCUGUAGGUCAGUUUCUGUAGUCUUUUCAACGACUGUCUUAUUGCCGGUUACAUGCCCCGUUUCAUCUCUAUUAUCAAAGACUUUCCUUUCCACGGUCUUGAUACUGUCAUUCGCGCCAUUUUGCAAACUUGUGUUCAUCUUCUCAAGAUCAGGCAUUUUGGGGAAAUCUUUGAGUUCCCCCUCGUCAUGUUUCUUCCAAGGGUCGUAAUUGGCCUUCUCGAGGCUAGGGUAGGGCACCUUGUCCUUUGGGAGCCCAUUGGAGCUCACAAUUCCUCGCCGUCGUGUGUGUGUGUGUGUGUGUGUGUGUGUGUGUGUGUGUGUGUGUGCUUUCUUUCGUUCGACUCUCCCUGUUCUACAAAAACGGAUCCUACGGCGGAGGAAGACCCGAGAGGAUUUUUCUCCCUGCCCGUCGGCGUUCCGGAGGCCAUUCUGUUUUCAAUCCCUGAGCUGACGAAAGCUGUUUUCUGCCACGAAACCGUAAUUAUUUUUAAUAUCAUCUCACAAGCAACAACUAUGAAGUUCUUCCUUGCUUGGACGCUCGUCAUCAUCCUGGGGAUGAUGGCCGGUCAGCCGGACAGCCGGUCAGCCGGUCAGCCAGCCGGCCAGCAGCUGGGUAGGCGGUGGCGUAGGUGGUAGCGUACUGGGCUCACAUUCACCGCGUGAUGGACGACGCGGGUUCGAAUCCCCACGCUACCACUCGGAUUUUUCAGUCACCGCCGAGUGGCUUAACACUACCCACAUGCUGUCCUGAAGACCACCCAUCAACCCGGACUCUAGAGGAAGCCGUCCAAGCGAAUCAAGAACGAGUUCCGGGGGGCAGCAUGAGCCAAUGCAAGAUGGCGCCACUAUAAAACACUCGCCUGCGCCAGAACGGGCUGGGCCGACCAUCAGGCCCCACCUGGAAGAAGCCUUGGGCCGACCAUCAGGCCCCACCGGGAAGAUGCCUACCGGCGCAAUAGGCAACAACGUAAAAAAAAAAAAAAAAAAACCCGCC